GGGAUAACACUUGGAAACAGGUGCUAAUACCGUAUAACAAUCGAAACCGCAUGGUUUUGAUUUGAAAGGCGCUUUCGGGUGUCGCUGAUGGAUGGACCCGCGGUGCAUUAGCUAGUUGGUGAGGUAACGGCUCACCAAGGCCACGAUGCAUAGCCGACCUGAGAGGGUGAUCGGCCACAUUGGGACUGAGACACGGCCCAAACUCCUACGGGAGGCAGCAGUAGGGAAUCUUCGGCAAUGGACGAAAGUCUGACCGAGCAACGCCGCGUGAGUGAAGAAGGUUUUCGGAUCGUAAAACUCUGUUGUUAGAGAAGAACAAGGAUGAGAGUAACUGUUCAUCCCUUGACGGUAUCUAACCAGAAAGCCACGGCUAACUACGUGCCAGCAGCCGCGGUAAUACGUAGGUGGCAAGCGUUGUCCGGAUUUAUUGGGCGUAAAGCGAGCGCAGGCGGUUUCUUAAGUCUGAUGUGAAAGCCCCCGGCUCAACCGGGGAGGGUCAUUGGAAACUGGGAGACUUGAGUGCAGAAGAGGAGAGUGGAAUUCCAUGUGUAGCGGUGAAAUGCGUAGAUAUAUGGAGGAACACCAGUGGCGAAGGCGGCUCUCUGGUCUGUAACUGACGCUGAGGCUCGAAAGCGUGGGGAGCAAACAGGAUUAGAUACCCUGGUAGUCCACGCCGUAAACGAUGAGUGCUAAGUGUUGGAGGGUUUCCGCCCUUCAGUGCUGCAGCUAACGCAUUAAGCACUCCGCCUGGGGAGUACGACCGCAAGGUUGAAACUCAAAGGAAUUGACGGGGGCCCGCACAAGCGGUGGAGCAUGUGGUUUAAUUCGAAGCAACGCGAAGAACCUUACCAGGUCUUGACAUCCUUUGACCACUCUAGAGAUAGAGCUUCCCCUUCGGGGGCAAAGUGACAGGUGGUGCAUGGUUGUCGUCAGCUCGUGUCGUGAGAUGUUGGGUUAAGUCCCGCAACGAGCGCAACCCUUAUUGUUAGUUGCCAUCAUUCAGUUGGGCACUCUAGCAAGACUGCCGGUGACAAACCGGAGGAAGGUGGGGAUGACGUCAAAUCAUCAUGCCCCUUAUGACCUGGGCUACACACGUGCUACAAUGGGAAGUACAACGAGUUGCGAAGUCGCGAGGCUAAGCUAAUCUCUUAAAGCUUCUCUCAGUUCGGAUUGCAGGCUGCAACUCGCCUGCAUGAAGCCGGAAUCG
rnacentral:rRNA from 1 species